AGCGAACGCUGGCGGCAGGCUUAACACAUGCAAGUCGAACGGGCGUAGCAAUACGUCAGUGGCAGACGGGUGAGUAACACGUGGGAACGUACCUUUUGGUUCGGAACAACUGAGGGAAACUUCAGCUAAUACCGGAUAAGCCCUUACGGGGAAAGAUUUAUCGCCGAAAGAUCGGCCCGCGUCUGAUUAGCUAGUUGGUGGGGUAAGAGCCCACCAAGGCGACGAUCAGUAGCUGGUCUGAGAGGAUGAUCAGCCACAUUGGGACUGAGACACGGCCCAAACUCCUACGGGAGGCAGCAGUGGGGAAUAUUGGACAAUGGGCGAAAGCCUGAUCCAGCCAUGCCGCGUGAGUGAUGAAGGCCCUAGGGUUGUAAAGCUCUUUUAACGGGGAAGAUAAUGACGGUACCCGUAGAAUAAGCCCCGGCUAACUUCGUGCCAGCAGCCGCAGUAA
rnacentral:rRNA from 1 species